rnacentral:ncRNA from 1 species
CAACCUCAACUCAUAUGGGACUACCCCCUGAAUUUAAGCAUAUUAAUUAGGGGAGGAAAAGAAACUAACAAGGAUUUUCUUAGUAGCGGCGAGCGAAAAGAAAACAGUUCAGCACUAAGUCACUUUGUCUAUAUGGCAAAUGUGAGAUGCAGUGUAUGGAGCGUCAAUAUUCUAGUAUGAGAAAUUAAUGAUUUAAGUCCUUCUUAAAUGAGGCCAUUUACCCAUAGAGGGUGCCAGGCCCGUAUAACGUUAAUGAUUACUAGAUGAUGUUUCCAAAGAGUCGUGUUGCUUGAUAGUGCAGCACUAAGUGGGUGGUAAACUCCAUCUAAAACUAAAUAUAACCAUGAGACCGAUAGUAAACAAGUACCGUGAGGGAAAGUUGAAAAGAACUCUGAAUAGAGAGUUAAACAGUACGUGAAACUGCUUAGAGGUUAAGCCCGAUGAACCUGAAUAUCCGUUAUGGAAAAUUCAUCAUUAAAAUUGUAAUAUUUAAAUAAUAUUAUUAAGAAUAAUGUGCAUUUUUUCCAUAUAAGGACAUUGUAAUCUAUUAGCAUAUCCCAAAUUUAUCAUAAAAUAUAACUUAUAGUUUAUUCCAAUUAAAUUGCUUGCAUUUUAACACAGAAUAAAUGUUAUUAAUUUGAUAAAGUGCUGAUAGAUUUAUAUUAUUACAGAGCGUUAAUUUUUCGGAAUUAUAUAAUGGCAUAAUUAUCAUUGAUUUUUGUGUUUAUUAUAUGCUCUUGUAUGAUUAGAAUCCACCACAGGGCGA